CCGUUAAGAAUAGAAGAUGUAGACCACAUAAGACUGACUUUCUGUCCCAAAUUACCACAAUUUUGAGAUGCAGUUUGGUGGAAUGGCUUUCCCCAAAACAGGGUGCAAGUAGGCUUUUCUGACUUAUACAGGACUUCUUCAACAAGGCUCAGAAGAACAAAAUUCUCAAGUUUGGAAGAUGCAUUGCAAAAGAGGCCUCAGUCACUGAAAAAUGAGCCCAAAGAGGAAAGGCAGCCCAAGGUAACCCAGCCAUGUCCUGCUGCAGAGGAGAACAGAGAAGAUGGCAAG